rnacentral:rRNA from 1 species
CCAUGAGCACCGCAUGGAGCUCAUGCCAAAUAUCCUUUCGGGGAUAGCGCAGGGAUGGACCUAUGGCGCAUUAGCUGGUUGGCGGGGCAACGGCCCACCAAGGCAACGAUGCGUAGCCGGCCUGAGAGGGCGGACGGCCACAUUGGGACUGAGACACGGCCCAGACUCCUACGGGAGGCAGCAGUAGGGAAUUUUCGGCAAUGGGGGAAACCCUGACCGAGCAACGCCGCGUGAGCGAGGAAGGCCCUCGGGUCGUAAAGCUCUGUUGUAAAGGAAGAACGGCGCAUACAGGAAAUGGUAUGCGAGUGACGGUACUUUACCAGAAAGCCACGGCUAACUACGUGCCAGCAGCCGCGGUAAUACGUAGGUGGCGAGCGUUAUCCGGAAUCAUUGGGCGUAAAGAGGGAGCAGGCGGCCGCAAGGGUCUGUGGUGAAAGACCGAAGCUAAACUUCGGUAAGCCAUGGAAACCGGGCGGCUAGAGUGCGGAAGAGGAUCGUGGAAUUCCAUGUGUAGCGGUGAAAUGCGUAGAUAUAUGGAGGAACACCAGUGGCGAAGGCGACGGUCUGGGCCGCAACUGACGCUCAUUCCCGAAAGCGUGGGGAGCAAAUAGGAUUAGAUACCCU